AUUGAACGCUGGCGGCAUGCCUUACACAUGCAAGUCGAACGGCAGCAUGAUCUAGCUUGCUAGAUUGAUGGCGAGUGGCGAACGGGUGAGUAAUACAUCGGAACGUGCCCUGUAGUGGGGGAUAACUAGUCGAAAGAUUAGCUAAUACCGCAUACGACCUGGGGGUGAAAGUGGGGGACCGCAAGGCCUCAUGCUAUAGGAGCGGCCGAUGUCUGAUUAGCUAGUUGGUGAGGUAAAGGCUCACCAAGGCGACGAUCAGUAGCUGGUCUGAGAGGACGAGCAGCCACACUGGGACUGAGACACGGCCCAGACUCCUACGGGAGGCAGCAGUGGGGAAUUUUGGACAAUGGGGGCAACCCUGAUCCAGCAAUGCCGCGUGUGUGAAGAAGGCCUUCGGGUUGUAAAGCACUUUUGUCCGGAAAGAAAUCGCACUUACUAAUAUUAGGUGUGGAUGACGGUACCGGAAGAAUAAGGACCGGCUAACUACGUGCCAGCCGCCGCAGUAAGAC
rnacentral:rRNA from 1 species